AUUUCUCGGAAUGCGAAGUUGGAUAUGGCAAUAACUUCGAAGUUGGGGAUCAAGUGGAGGUUUCAGUAGAAAUUUUGGAAAUGAUGGGUGGAGGAAGUUUGCAAGUGAAGAGGUGUGGAGUCCUGCUUGUCCACAGGCCAGAUGAGGAGAAGAACCUAUCAGAUGAUCGAUCGAUGGUGGAAUAUAUGUCUGCUUCUGUUGGUGAUGUUGUUAUGGAUAGAAAAGAAUCAGUAUUGGUUCACAUCGAAGAUGAGAAUGAGAGUGGCCACAAUGAGGGCAUUGCAGGAUUUGGCAUUGAUGCCAAAAGAUUGGGGAUUGGCCUGUGAUUCCUGCAUUAGUUACCAUUUCCGAUGGGUAACACAAGCCCAUUGUAGAGACAUCCAUUUGCAAGCUGGAUAUCCUCAUACCCAUGUGAGAAUGUUGUUGGAGCAGAAACCGAGCUCUUCCUCUUCUCGUUCUUGUAUUGAAUCCUGUGAGUACAGUCUAUUCAUUUAAGAUAAUUAGAUUUGGAAUGCGGGUGUUGAUGCCAGUAGAUCCAAAUUAACCAGUUGACAGAUCAAUGAUAUUCUGUGUAUAUUCUUUAUUAAUUAUUUCAUUGACCCCUACAGAUUGGUUCUUCACUCAAAUCGGUAGGGUAGCAGCAGUAUUCUCCUGUGGAGGAUAAGGUUUAUAUAAUGGGACAGGAAUGAAUGUCAUAGGCAACUGCUUAAUCGUUUAAUCCUUUGGAACAUAAUUUAUUUCUUUUUUGGAUAAAUUAUAUAAAAUUUCUUAUUUGCAGCACAAAAGGUUACAUUUCAGUACUAAGCAUAGCAUGAGCACAUUGCACAGAAAGCAUAGCAUCAGCACACUGUACAGAAAGCAUAGCAUGAGCACAUUGCACAGAAGCUGAGAAAAACCCUCUUGAGAAUUUCUUAUUUACAGCAUAAAAUGUAAAAUUUUAGUACUGAUCAGAAGGGUGGGGGUGGUGGUGUUCAUUUUCAGGUUUAUUGCACUGCGUGGGUCCAGAUUUGGGCCUUCUGGGCUGAUUUGUUUGCCUCAUCCUGAAUAUGUUCUUUCCAUUUUCAACCGGAGUGCAGGUCUUCAAACUUGCAGCAUAGGCCUUUCCCAUCAAGCCGUGCAACAGCCGCACAUAGUUUUUCUUUUAAUAAUAAUAAAAAAAAAUGUUUCUGCAAGAAAUGAACUGUUUGAAUGCAAAAAAAGCUACAAGGAAAAGUUAUAAGAGAAUUAACAGUUGGUACUAAUUUUUGUAACAGAUUUACAAGCAUUGAUCCCCGCAAAGUUACAAAAAAUGGUACCACUUAAGAAUUGAGAAUAGGCUAGCAUGAAUUUGUUUGUAUAUUCUGUUUCCAGGUAUGUAGUCAAGAGAUGGGGCUAAGUGAACAUUUAUAGAUCAUUGGGAAAGGCAUUUUACAAGCAUAAAUUGAGUUGUUUUGGGCUGGGUCUGAAACAUGUGAUUUCCUAGGCAUUCUGCCCCCUGUCAAAGGAAUAUUUGAAUUGCCCAGGAAUCCCUACUUUUUCGAUCAUUCGACAAGCUAGACAUCCAAGAUCAAAGAAUCAGGGCACUCGAGAUAGGAGUAGGGGCCACAUGAGCGGGAUCUCCUCCAUUGGCUCAGGAAAACUUUGUCCACUUUUUAAUCGGACUUCAAGAAAGUAGGUGAUCUCAGUAAAGUCUCUGUUAUGGUUUCAGGUGGGAAGAUAAGGAUUUUUUUUCCUUGGUGGACAAUUUCUAUUUUAAAGUUUUUUUAAAGGGGUUUUUCCUCCCUCUGUAUAUAAAGAACGUCUUUGGGCACUUGAAAAGUGA